rnacentral:rRNA from 1 species
UACGAAGGGGGCUAGCGUUGUUCGGAUUUACUGGGAGCGUAAAGCGCACGUAGGCGGAUAUUUAAGUCAGGGGUGAAAUCCCGGGGCUCAACCCCGGAACUGCCUUUGAUACUGGGUAUCUUUGAGUCCGGAAGAGGUGAGUGGAAUUCCGAGUGUAGAGGUGAAAUUCGUAGAUAUUACGGAGGAACACCAGUGGCGAAGGCGGCUCACUGGUCCGGUACUGACGCUGAGGUGCGAAAGCGUGGGGAGCAAACAGG